UUUUAACUGUAACAUGAUAGUAAAUGCCCGUGAACAAGUUGAGAUCUUUCCCAUCUUGUGAUUUUAUUCGGAGAAAUGUAACUGUGUUCUUGUCCUGUGACAUGAUAUUUAUGAGAAAUCUAUUGUACUUGAAUGGGAGAGGGGGGUGUGCAAUAUUGGUAAUUUAAUGGCAGUUCAAAGUUCAAGUGUAAUGAGAAAUGUGAGAUGAUUUUAUUGAUUUAAGUGUUACACUCUUUUUGACUUUAAAUCCUUGCAUAGUAUUCACCUUUCGCCGUACAAUGAUAUGUUGUAUGUGUGAAUGUGGUGGAACAUCACAUAAAUCUAACACACUCGCUGAAAUUGUAUCCGAUUUUGUCGGCUGACUGAAUGAAUUUGAAACAUGGCCAAUUUUUUAUUUUUAUCAAACCACAUAUGCAUAUCCCACUAGCAUAACAAAGAAGGUGCAUUAGUUUCUACUAACUAACCAAAACGACAUAAAUAGUCCGCUUGCAUCACGAAAAGGUUAGGGUUAGUUUGGCAUGAUUAAUUAGGUAAUGACGCUCAUGUGCAAAAUUUGAGAUUUAAAGCCUACAUUUUUUCCUGCAUUGGGUUACUUGAUUUUCAUUUAAUUCUCAUUAUUUAUUUUAUACAGUAUUGAUUUUCAUUUCAGAGGUAUGCAUAUCUACGUAACUACCAGUAUGGGUUAAUUUUUCAUAGAUUUUCUUUAAUCUUUGAAAGAAUUUCAAACAAAAUGAAUGUAUGACAUACAGAUUAAAUUCUUCAUCCAAAAUAGUUCCAUAGUUCCAUCCAUCAACAAUGGUGUCUUUUCAAAAACGCUGACUGCAAUAUGAAAUUUCAGAAUUCAUUCAAAUGGCCAAGUUUUGAAAAAAGUUAAAAAUGGCUAUAUGAUAGCGUAACAAAGAAUGUAUUAGUUUCUAUCACUCUUAGAACUGUGGUAAUAAAAAUGCAAACUCGUUUAUUACCGAGCAGUUGGUAAACAUUGAUUUUUCCAUCACAGUAAUAAAAUUGUUUACCAAAAUUCAUUAUAAUACAAAAAAUGUAUUUAUUAUUGCUUGGUAUUAUCGGGAAAACUCGAACGGUAUCGUAAAGUUACCAAGUUAUAUUAAUUUAAUACUGCAGUGAGAGAACAUGAAUAAUACUGCGCCGUAUUAAAUCAUUUAGCUAGCGGGUAAUGAGCUAAAACUUUCAUGCGGUGUAUUUUUAUUACUACUCCGGUAAAUAUUUUUCCAAACUCGAUAAUAAAGUUAACGCGCACUCAUACAAAAGAAGCACAAUCUCCAGAAAAUUACUUCGUGUUUAAAAUUAUUUUCAAGCCAGAAAAUUGAUUCUUAAAGGUAGAUUUAAAGUCACUGUAAAGUUUGCUGCGAAACUGGUCAAGCUAUAAAGGGAUACAUCAGUAAUUAAGGAUAAGAAGUCAUUUGCUGAAGCCAUUGUUGAGACUUUGCUAUUUUGGACAUCCCGUGGGACUGCUAACUGGAGUUGUAAAUUUUAAAUUUAAUAUACAAUUUUUGAACUUUUAACUAAUGGAUAUUGUGUAUACUCUUGACCUACAUAAAUAAAAAUAUGAUUUAACAAAA